AUUGAACGCUGGCGGCAUGCUUUACACAUGCAAGUCGAACGGUAACAGGCCGCAAGGUGCUGACGAGUGGCGAACGGGUGAGUAAUGCAUCGGAACGUGCCCAGUCGUGGGGGAUAACGCAGCGAAAGCUGUGCUAAUACCGCAUACGAUCUAUGGAUGAAAGCGGGGGACCGUAAGGCCUCGCGCGAUUGGAGCGGCCGAUGUCAGAUUAGGUAGUCGGUGGGGUAAAGGCUCACCAAGCCAACGAUCUGUAGCUGGUCUGAGAGGACGACCAGCCACACUGGGACGGAGACACGGCCCAGACUCCUACGGAAGGCAGCAGUGGGGAAUUUUGGACAAUGGGCGCAAGCCUGAUCCAGCAAUGCCGCGUGCAGGAAGAAGGCCUUCGGGUUGUAAACUGCUUUUGUACGGAACGAAAAGGUUUGGGUUAAUACCCUGGGCCGAUGACGGUACCGUAAGAAUAAGCACCGGCUAACUACGUGCCAGCCGCCGCGGUAAGAC
rnacentral:rRNA from 1 species